ensembl:lncRNA
GCUGUGUAUGAGGUGAAUCCUGGCAUGGUAUGUCAGUGCUCUGCUGCUGGAAUCAUUGGUCACAGCUUCAGUGCAGAAUCUAUGGCCUACAUGGAGGACAGACUACAGGAUCAAGUGCCUCUUUUGCAUCUCAGCAGUAAGGAAAGAGUGGCAAAUGAAAGGAGAACAACCACUUAAUGCUAUUGAUCAACCCAUGCCUUGUUAGAAGAUCACAAUGGGUUUAGGAAUGUUCUUCUAAAUUAUAAACAAUUGCAAUGAUACUCCAAGGGAAAAGAAGACAUUUGUUCAGUGAGUAGAACUGCAAGAAGAGGUACUUUCUGUUCUGGAGCAUAUCCCCAAUAUUGCCCCUGGGUCUGACCUUUGGAGCAAUCACAGUGAUGUUAAAUACCCUGUAGAUGUAAGGAAAGACUGGUUUGGAUAUGUAGGAAAGAUAGAGAGCAUGAUCUGACUUUAUUCCUAGUGAAUCUGAUGUAAAAUAUAAAUUUAGCAGACUAACUACUACAAGAGCAAAAUCAGAAGGGCCUCACCACACAAUGAAGUACAACUGUAAAGAAAAGUAAGAAAUGACAGCAUCUCACAUUCAAAAACAUUUCUCUUUAGAACUGUUUGCUUUCAAAUGGAAGGGCCCAGUAGUAUUUUCCAGCUGGGGACUUGGCCUGCCAUCACAUUUUUCCAUUGGGAUUUGGAGAUGACUCUACUGUAUCCUGUGAAGGCGGGAUGAAAACUGGCGUCUCCCUACUUCCUCUUAUGUCUGCUGAUGUACAUUUUCAAGACCUGGAAGACAGGAAUGAAAAAGUUCCUGCUGAGAUCCCCAAGCCAAAAGCUGUCAUACCAAAGAGCAGACUCGACCACUCUAUACUAUAAUUAAGAUAACGUACAUUCGUCAUCAACUGAACUCCACAACCUCAGAUCAGCACCACCAAGACACCACUGGAUCAAGGAGUGGUGAACCACUUCACUCUGCUGUGUUUGCAUAUUUCUCUGUCUGUCUGUCUGUUCGUCUGUCUCUCUUGCCCUGUUUCCUAUCUUUUCUCUUUAUCUGCUUUACUCUUUCA